CCCAGUAGCUGGUAGGUUUCAGACAUCCCAGUAGCUGGUAGGUUUCAGACAUCCCAGUAGCUGGUAGGUUUCAGACAUCCCAGUAGCUGGUAGGUUUCGGACAUCCCAGUAGCUGGUAGGUAUCGGACGUCCCAGUAGUUGGUAGGUAUCGGACGUCCCAGUAGUUGGUAGGUAUCGGACGUCCCAGUAGUAUCGGACGUCCCAGUAGUUGGUAGGUAGGUCAUGAGAGGACCAGACCUUGAACAGAGCAGGGAUUGGUUGGUAGGUCUUUACAGUAGGAUUCUCCUCAUCCCAUAAUAACAGCAGGCCGUUGAGCCCUCUGCUGGCUCAGAUGCAAGCCUUUCUCAGGCUGAACUGCAGAGUAAUGGAGGAGGCCAGCUGGUCCUGGAAGUUCGGUUCUCUUAAAUCAGAACCUAUCGCGGUAAGAUCCCACCAAGGACCCUUUUCGUGACUGCAGCUGUGCUCUACUCCAGCUGCGGAGGUAGAGAAACCGUAGCUACGGCUUCAAGAUGUAUGGUGGGCAACGUUGAAAUGUGCUCCAUGGUUCUCCAGCGAAGGACCGAGGUGGUGUUCUUGUCGUUGAGGAAGAGCCCUCACCUCUCAUCCCCGGGCGUUUCUCCUUUAGGUGAGAGCCUGUCACCAUCUUGAAUGACAUCCCAGUUCAUGUAAAUGACUUCACAACCACCUCUUAGACACAUGCCUUCACCUGAAGGGGGCAAGUCUACAGAGCUGGAGGCUUCAGACAGCGCAGAACCCUAGCAUGCAUCUCUGAUCACUCAAUCUGAACCCUCAUCAGUACGGCUCAUGUGACGUGAUGCAAAGUUCAGGAAGUAGUGGCGAAGCAUGUCGAAAGAAAAUCUAGACAAAACCUUGGACUAUGUUUUGGCUGCACUCUGAAACCCUAUGUUACUAUUCUCACAAUUCACUUGGAACCUAAACUACAACCCUUCUAACACAGCAUUGACACAUGUUCAAACUAAACAGGUAAUUAGCCCACGUACCAACAAAAAACAUUAUUUAAAUCAUUCACCUUUCCACCUCAGCCAACGAGGAGGCCAAAACAAUGCCCCAGCAUAAAGAGGAAAUAUAAGGACUUACAGUUCGCAGUUUCUUCUUCAUGGUUCAGUUUUGAUACUCACAGAAUCA
ensembl:lncRNA